rnacentral:rRNA from 1 species
AUUGAACGCUGGCGGCAGGCCUAACACAUGCAAGUCGAACGAGUGGCGGACGGGUGAGUAAUGUCUGGGAAACUGCCCGAUGGAGGGGGAUAAUUACUGGAAACGGUAGCUAAUACCGCAUACCAUCGGAUGUGCCCAGAUGGGGUUAGCUAGUAGGGGGAGUAACGGCUCACCUAGGCCACGAUCCCUAGCUGGUCUGAGAGGAUGACGAGCCACACUGGAACGGAGACACGGUCCAGACUCCAACGGAAGGCAGCAGUGGGGAAUAUUGAACAAUGGUCGCAGGCCUGAUACAGCCAUGCCGCGUGUAUGAAGAAGGCCUUCGGGUUGUAAAGUACUUUCAGCGAGGAGGCGUUACUCGCAGAAGAAGCACCGGCUAACUCCGUGCCAGCAGCCGCGGUAAUAC